GUCCCUUCAGGAACAUCAGAUAUAAUUGGAACGAUAUAGAGAAGAUUAGCAUGGACCCUGGCAAGAAUGACACGCAGAAAUCAAGAAAUGGUCCAAAUUCUU